rnacentral:rRNA from 1 species
GAGUGGCGCACGGGUGAGUAACGCGUGGUGUAAUCUACCUUCGAAUCGGGGAUAACACUUCGAAAGGGGUGCUAAUACCGGAUGACGUCCACGAGGCUUUGGCUUUGUGGAUCAAAGAUGGCCUCUCCAUGGAAGCUGUUGUUCGGAGAUGAGCCCGCGUCCCAUUAGCUUGUUAGUGGGGUAAAGGCCCACCAUAGUGCGACGAUGGGUAGCUGGUCUGAGAGGAUGAUCAGUCACACUGGCACUGACACCACGGGCCAGACUCCUACGGGAGGCAGCAGUGAGGAAUUUUGCGCCAUGGGGGAAGCCCUGACGCAGCAACGCCGCGUGAGUGAAGGAGGCCUUCGGGUCGUAAAGCUCUGUCGAGUGGGAAGACCCGCAUCAGGUGACAAGUCUGAUGCGCUUGACGGUACCACUGGAGGAAGCCACCGGCUAACUCCGUGCCAGCAGGCGCGGUAAUACCGGAGGGUGCAAGCGUUAUUCGGACAUACUUGGGCGUAAAGGGCGGCGCAAGCGGCUGGAUAAGUCAGUAGUGAAAAGCCAGGGCUCAAACCUGUAAGUUGCUGCUUGAAACUGUUUAGCUUUGAAUUUGGUACACGGAAGUUGGAUUCCUGGGUGUAGCGCGGAAACUGCGUACGAUACUCCGGAAGAACCACCGGUUGGCGAACGCGGGUUCCUUGGACCAUUACUGAACGCUGAGGCGCGAAGGCGUGGGUAGCAAACAGGAUUAGAUACCCUGGUAGUCCACGCAGUAAACGGUGAUCACUAGGUGUUGCGGGUAUUGAUACCUGCAGUGCCGGAGCUAACGCAUUAAGUGAUCCGCCUGGGGAGUACGGCCGCAAGGUUAAAACUCAAAGGAAUUGACGGGGGCCCGCACAAGCGGUGGAGCAUGUGGUUUAAUUCGACGCAACGCGAAGAACCUUACCUGGGUUUGACAUCUGGGGAAUGCCUGUGAAAGCAGACAGUGCCUUUCGGGGAGCCCCAAGACAGGUGCUGCAUGGCUGUCGUCAGCUCGUGUCGUGAGAUGUUGGGUUAAGUCCCGCAACGAGCGCAACCCCUGUCUUCAGUUACCAGCAAUUCGGUUGGGGACUCUGAAGAUACUGCCCCGGUUAACGGGGAGGAAGGUGGGGAUGACGUCAAGUCCUCAUGGCCUUUAUGCCCAGGGCUACACACGUGCUACAAUGGGCGGUACAGAGGGUAGCGAGAUCGCGAGAUGGAGCCAAUCCCAAAAAGCCGUCCUCAGUUCGGAUUGGAGUGUGCAACUCGACUCCAUGAAGUUGGAAUCGCUAGUAAUCGCGGAUCAGCAUGCCGCGGUGAUACGUUCCCGGGCCUUGUACACACCGCCCGUCACACCAUGAGAGUUGGCUAUACCGCGAAGUCGCCGGCCCAACCUGUAGAGGGGGGA